rnacentral:rRNA from 1 species
GAUGAACGCUGGCGGCGUGCCUAAUACAUGCAAGUCGAGCGAACAGACGAGGAGCUUGCUCCCCUGACGUUAGCGGCGGACGGGUGAGUAACACGUGGAUAACCUACCUAUAAGACUGGGAUAACUUCGGGAAACCGGAGCUAAUACCGGAUAAUAUAUUGAACCGCAUGGUUCAAUAGUGAAAGACGGUUUUGCUGUCACUUAUAGAUGGAUCCGCGCCGCAUUAGCUAGUUGGUAAGGUAACGGCUUACCAAGGCAACGAUGCGUAGCCGACCUGAGAGGGUGAUCGGCCACACUGGAACUGAGACACGGUCCAGACUCCUACGGGAGGCAGCAGUAGGGAAUCUUCCGCAAUGGGCGAAAGCUUGACGGAGCAACGCCGCGUGAGUGAUGAAGGUCUUCGGAUCGUAAAACUCUGUUAUUAGGGAAGAACAAAUGUGUAAGUAACUAUGCACGUCUUGACGGUACCUAAUCAGAAAGCCACGGCUAACUACGU